CCCUCUCUUCUGGGAGAGGGAGGGCGAUGACCAAACUCCCUCCGUCCUCCCCGGGGCACCCACAGCCCCGCCGCGCGGGUCCUUCGGGAUGUUCCUGCCGGGAAAGGCGCAGGCGGGCAGGGCAGGGCUGGUGAUGAGCGGCCCUUGCCCGGUCAGGUACCUUGUCAGGUCAGACACCUUGUCCGGUCCGAUCCCUCGGCUCUGCACUGGAGCUCAGCCGGCGCGGGCGGUACCGCGUUCCCGAGGCAGCAUUUACACCCCGCUGGGUUCGUGUGAGUGCUGUACGGUCCGUGAUGUCCUUACAGGGUGAAUCAUCCCUCCUCGCUGCUCUGUGAAACUGGAGGUCUGUAAAAGGCACGAGUGACUCCAGCCUGUUGUUGCAGGUUCUGUCGUCUCCCCUGUGUGUGACAGCACCGGCCUCUCUCUGUCCCUGCGCUGACGGCGGGGUUGGUCAUCACGAGUCCGAGGGCUGGACAGAAACUAAAGCACCUGUUGACCCUCCUGAGUUGUCUUCAGAGUACAGACAUACCCAGGAUGUGCUGCAGGAACCCUCCGUGUCUGACUGCCAGAAGUAAAGCAGUUGGAUAAAUCUGCUGGGACAAUAGAAUUCAAGUGAUUAGCGUGGGUUAAAAGUCUCUCUGCAGGUGGAAUGCCUCCUGUUCCUCAAGUGGCUCAACAGAUUAGCCAGGAGGGAGACCAACAGCAAAAUGGACCAAACUUGCCAAGUUUGCAUAAUUCCUUCCCUGCUCCACACAGCAGGAACCCAGCUUUUCCUCAGCAGUAGGAAACAUGAGUUUAAUUAUGUUUACUCGAAGGAAAAUGAAAUUCUGCAGCGAAUAACAGCACUGAGGAAAGAAGGUUUAUGGUCUCUGAAGCGUCUGCCCAAACUCCAUGAGGCCCCACGGCACAAAUCACACCGUGAUUAUCUUUUGGAAGAAAUGCAGUGGAUGGCAACUGAUUUUGUUCAAGAAAGAAGAUGGAAGAUAACAACUGCCAGGAGGCUGAUUUUAAGUGUAGCUCGUCACCACGAGGGUGUGACACUUCAUAAGGAAAGAUGCAAGAAAAGAGAAGAGAAACAACUGAGGGCAGUUGCUGCUUUUACUGCCAGAGGAAUUGAACACUUCUGGUCCACCAUUAAACAGGUGGUAGAUUUAAAACUGCAAGCAGAGUUAGAAGAGAGGAGGAAGAAAGCAUUAAACUUGCAGAAUGUCUCAAA